GGCGUAAAGGGCACGCAGGCGGCUAUUUAAGUGAGGUGUGAAAUCCCCGGGCUUAACCUKGGAAUUGCAUUUCAGACUGGGUAGCUAGAGUACUUUAGGGAGGGGUAGAAUUCCACGUGUAGCGGUGAAAUGCGUAGAGAUGUGGAGGAAUACCGAAGGCGAAGGCAGCCCCUUGGGAAUGUACUGACGCUCAUGUGCGAAAGCGUGGGGAGCAAACAGGAUUAGAUACCCUGGUAGUCCACGCUGUAAACGCUGUCGAUUUGGGGAUUGGGCUUUAAGCUUGGUGCCCGUAGCUAACGUGAUAAAUCGACCGCCUGGGGAGUACGGCCGCAAGGUUAAAACUCAAAUGAAUUGACGGGGGCCCGCACAAGCGGUGGAGCAUGUGGUUUAAUUCGAUGCAACGCGAAGAACCUUACC
rnacentral:rRNA from 1 species